UAAAACUCACUGUAUAAAUUAAUAUAUUAAACACUUCUUGAUCUGUUCAUACUAUUGUAGGCAUAAUUUGAAUUACAGUAUAAAUGUAGUCCCCCCACCCCCAAAAGAGUAUUGGCAAUUUAGCUGAUACAUGAAAAUGUGCUGAAUACUGUCACAUUGUUUCAUACAAAAAUACUUUUGCAUAAUGCAUGAGAUUUGUUUUGUAAUAAAACAUUAUUAAACAAGGUUUAAAAAAAAAUAAUAA